CAUGAAGUCGGAAUCGCUAGUAAUCGUAGAUCAGAAUGCUACGGUGAAUACGUUCCCGGGCCUUGUACACACCGCCCGUCACACCAUGGGAGUGGGUUGCAAAAGAAGUAGGUAGCUUAACCUCCGGGAGGGCGCUUACCACUUUGUGAUUCAUGACUGGGGUGAAGUCGUAACAAGGUAACCGUAGGGGAACCUGCGGUUGGAUCACCUCCUUACCU
rnacentral:rRNA from 1 species